UCCGGCGGCGACAGUGCAGUAGACCCACCUGAUUCCAUGCCGAACUCAGAAGUGAAAUGCUGUAACGCCGAUGGUAGUGUGGGGUCUCCCCAUGUGAGAGUAGGACACCGCCGGAUAU
rnacentral:rRNA from 1 species